UUGUGAAAACCCUUGGGGAAUAUCGAAAAACGACCUCCCUAAAGUAUCAUUUCUUUUCAGAAAAGGUGCUUCCCACACUAAAAAAUCGGAUCGAGUCCUCUGGUAGAAAACGUGUCCACAAAGGAAAAAAAAAAAAAAAACAUCUUUGUAAAACCAUAAGCUUCUUCGUUCCACUCAGAUUCCAAAAAUUAAAAUGUUCACGAUUCGUUGGAAAGUCGCGCAUGA